GUCCCCGUAGUCUAAUGGAUCAAAACAUCCGGCUACGAACCGGAAAAGUGGGGGUUCAAAUCCCUCCGGGGAUA
rnacentral:tRNA from 1 species